CACAAAUCACUGGAAGAGAGACUGAUCCUCGCUGUUUGUGAGUUAUCAGAAUGUAUUACCGUUUGCUAAAUAGGACAUCAACAGGAAGGAAUUCGCAUAGCAGAGCAUCCCAAAACUAGAUGAAUGCCUAUCAGGGGUGAGCUUGGCUAGCGUGCCUGUCAUUUCCAGUGGAUGCCCCGUGGUGAGGCCGUGGCUGUUCUCCUGCAGGGGCCACAUUUCUUGCCAGGACCUGCAUGGGUGAAUCUGGAGCUGUUUUACCCACAGAGAAGAUGGAUUACGCUAAGCCUGAUUCCAUCAUCUCCCGGUUGGAAGCGAAGCCUGACAGUCUUGAUAAGGCUAGAAUGGGACUCGCUACUGGAAAUACGGUCUACAUGAUGAAGAUUAACAGUAUAAAUAUAGACGAUGACAAUGGAGUACUUACAUAUGAGUCAAGUAUUUUAGAGGUUCAAACAUCCUCCGUUGUAUGUUUUCUAUUUCUAUCCCUUCUAUACUCCUGGAAAAUACAAAGACAAAGUUAUAAUGUCUUUAUCAGAUGCCACACACACAAAGAUCCAACACAGUACUGGAACUUCUCCUCACCAAAUUGCUUUUCAAGGACAAUGAGAAACAUUUAUACUAGCCUUUCAUACAUAUUUAAACUUUUGUGUGAGUUCAUGUUUGUGUCUCAAAGAAAUAGCACAUUAACUACAUAAUAUCCAAAUAACACUAAAAGACCACCAUGCUGUGACCCCCCCACACAAUGGGACAACUUUGAGAGAAUAUUGACCUACUAACUAUUCAGGGUCUUUCUUUCCAUUUUCCAGGUUUAUAUCACAUUUGUAUGUUUGUUGAACUUCUGCACUUACAUAUGACAGGAGAGCUCUUCAAAUAUGUCAAAUAUGCAGGUUUAGUUGCAGUCAUUUAGCUUGUAGCAACGUAUACUUACAAUGACUUCAGUUUAUGCAGCUUGUCAAAGUGGUCAACUUGGAGCUCCACGAUGGGAUUGUACGAUAUAUUCCUGGAAAACGAAGAUAAGAAACUCUGUAGUGACAAUAAAUUUUCAUUGAAUUGAAA